rnacentral:misc_RNA from 1 species
UGAGCAAACACUUACUCCGUGACAAGAAGCACUGGAAUCUUCUUGUGAACUGGGUUACCAUGUGAAAGCAAAAAGCUUUAGUUGGAGAGGUCUUCUUCAACGUACCAUAUGGUAUGCCCUUUAGAUUCAGAGCCUAUAUAUAUCACUUUGUAGAUACAGGAACUAGACCAAAACCCAGGCAGCUUAACUUGAGCCAUUUGAUCAAGAGGCCAGCCAGUGUAUUUUUUCUUUAACUUGUCAAUGUACUUGUAUAAUUAAUGAAGUCGUCAAGCGCAGCCAAGGAUUAUUCAGUGUUUUAGGAGCUUAUGCUCCCUCUAUAUAAA